UACGGAGGGUGCGAGCGUUGUCCGGAAUCACUGGGCGUAAAGGGUGCGCAGGCGGCCGUGUGUGUGAGGCGUGAAAGCCCGGGGCUUAACCCCGGAAUUGCACCUCAAACUACACGGCUAGAGCAUUGGAGAGGGUAGCGGAAUUCACGGUGUAGCAGUGAAAUGCGUAGAUAUCGUGAGGAACACCAGAGGCGAAGGCGGCUACCUGGACAAUUGCUGACGCUCAGGCACGAAAGCGUGGGGAGCAAAAGGG
rnacentral:rRNA from 1 species